rnacentral:rRNA from 1 species
UGGGGAAUCUUGCACAAUGGGGGAAACCCUGAUGCAGCGACGCCGCGUGAGCGAUGAAGGUUUUCGAAUCGUAAAGCUCUGUCCUAUGGGAAGAUAAUGACGGUACCAUAGGAGGAAGCCCCGGCUAACUACGUGCCAGCAGCCGCGGUAAUACGUAGGGGGCGAGCGUUGUCCGGAAUUACUGGGCGUAAAGGGUUCGCAGGCGGCAUGACAAGUCCGAUGUAAAAGGCGAAAGCUCAACUUUCGUAAGCAUCGGAAACUGUCAAGCUUGAGUGAAGGAGAGGCAAGUGGAAUUCCUAGUGUAGCGUAGGAAUGCGUAGAUAUUAGGAGGGAUACCGGUGGCGAAGGCGACUUGCUGGACUUCAACUGACGCUGAGGAACGAAAGCGUGGGUAGCAAACAGG